rnacentral:rRNA from 1 species
AAUUGUUAAAAGGGAAGCGCUUACAGCUAGACUUGCCUAUAGUUACUUAUCUAGGCUUUUACCCAGUGCACUCUUCUAUAGGCAGGCCAGCAUUAGUUUAGGCAGUUAGAUAAAGGUCUCUAUUACGUACCUCUCUUUAGGGAGGCCUUAUAGGGGAGACGACAUGCAACUAGCCUAGACUAAGGUCCACGCAUUUACUAGGAUGCUGGCGUAAUAGCUGUAAGCGGCCUAUCUUAAAACAUGGACUAAGGAGUCUAACAUCUAUGCGAGUGUUUAGGUGUUAAGCCUAAACGCGUAAUAAAAGUAAAUAGAGGUAGGAACCCUUUAGGGCGCACUAUUAACUAAUCCUAAUGUCUUUAGAAGGAUUUAAGUAAGAGUAUAGCUGUUAGGACCUAAAAGAUAGUAAACUAUACUUAAAUAGGGUAAAGCCAGAGGAAACUCUAGUAGAGGCUUGCAGCGGUUCUGACGUGCAAAUUAAUCGUUAAAUUUAGGCAUAGGGGCGAAAGACUAAUUAAACUAUCUAGUAGCUAGUUCCUGCUGAAGUUUCCCUUAGGAUAGCAGUAACGUAUUUAGUUUUAUAAGGUAAAGCAAAUAAUUAGAGGCCUAGGGGUUAAAAUAACCUUUACCUAUUCUUAAACUUUAAAUAUGUAAGAAGUCCUUGUUACUUAAUUAAACGUAGACACUUAAAUGUACUGUUACUAGUAGGCUAUUUUUAGUAAGCAGAACUAGCGAUGUAGGAUAAACUAAACGCGGGGUUAAGGUGCUAGAAUGCACGCUUAUUAGACACUAUAAAAGGUGUUAGUUUAUCUAGACAGCAGGAUGGUAGCUAUAGAAGUUGGAAUCUGCUAAGGAGUGUAUAACAACUCACCUACUAAAUAAACUAGCCCUAAAAAUAGAUGGCGCUUAAGCGUGUUACCUAUACCCCGCUGCUAGGGCAAGAUUUAAGCCCUAGCGAGUAGGCAGGCGUGGAGGUCCAUGACGAAGCCUUAGGGGUAACCCUAGGUAGAACGGCCUCUAGUGCAGAUCUUAGUAGUAGUAGCAAAUACUUAAAUAAGAACUUUAAGGACUAAAGUAGGGAAAGGUUCUGUGUAAACAGCAGUUAGACACAGGUUAGUUAAUCCUAAGAGAUAAGGUAAUUCCGUUUUAAUGUUAGCGCUUACGCUGCGCCCUUAAAAGGGAAGCUAGUUAAUAUUCUAGCACCUAGAUAUAGAUUCUCUGCAGUAACGCAACUAAGAGCGGAGACCUUAGCAGGAGCCCUAAGAAGAGUUCUCUUUUCUUCUUAAUGGUCUGUUACCCUAAAAUUAGUUUAUCUAGAGCUAGGGUUUAAUAGCUAGAAGAGCGCUGCACUUUUACGGCGUUUAGUGCACUCCUAACAAGCCUUAAAAAUCCGCUUAAAGAAAUAGUUUUUACGCUAGGUUGUACUUAUAACUGCAGCAGGUCUCUAAGGUAAAAAGCCUCUAGUUAAUAGAAUAAUAUAGAUAAGGGAAGUUAGCAAAAUAGAUCUAUAACUUCGGGAAAAGGAUUAGCUCUAAGGGUUAGGUACGUUAGGCCUUAGAGAGAAGCUUCUGGCGCAGAAGGGCACUAACUAUAAGGUAGGCGCCUUUUAGCGCUAGGGUGCGGAUACCCUUAGCAGGCUUUAGCCGUCCGGCGUACGUUUAACAACUAACUUAGAACUGGUACAGAUAAGGGGAAUCUAACUAUCUAAUUAAAACAUAGCAUUGCGAUAGCUAGAAAGUAGUGUUAACGUAAUGUGAUUUCUGCCUAGUGCUCUAAAUGUUAAAGCGAAGAGAUUCAACUAAGCGUAAGUAAACGGCGGGAGUAACUAUAACUCUCUUAAGGUAGCUAAAUGCCUUGUUAUCUAAUUAGUAACGCGUAUGAAUAGAUUAAUAAGAUUCCUACUGUCCCUAUCUACUAUCUAGUAAAACUAUAGCUAAGGGAACGGGCUUGGCUAAAUUAGCGGGGAAAGAAGACCCUGUUAAGCUUAACUCUAGUUUAAUAUUAUAAAAAGAUAUAGGGGGUGUAGAAUAGGUAGGAGCUUUAGCGCUAGUAAAAUACUACUACCCUUAUUGUUUUUUUACUUAUUUAAUAAAGCGG